AAUAAUGGAAGCAAUUUGUAACUUUCAGUAGCUCUCUAGGCCAGAGUACUCGAGGGAGGGAGACGCGCCGAGGUGGGGAGGUGGGAACCCCCAGUCCUUCUACUCCCGUCUCUCGUGCAGGGGCACCCGGAUCCCCAUUCCUCUUUAUCCCCAACACGCCGACACUCGCAGGGUCCCGCGCCCACUUCUGAACGGCGGUCGCCGCUCCAGAGCAAGGAGAGCAGACGGCCUCCCGGCUGGACACUCAUUUUGCAGCUGCCCUUGCUGCCAGGUGUGGCCAGAGGGGAAUGAAUGGGAGCCACAUAAUGUCAUCAGAGCCUUAAGCCAUCGGGUAAGUUCUUCUUUCACGAGCUGGACCAGAUGCCCCUGGGACUGAGCUUUGGCCGUGCAGUUGAGGAGACAUCCCUAAGAGAGGCCAAAGCCACCACAUGGAAGGAAGCCACGUCUCUGAUGGACCGGGUGGAACAGAGUUGCCUGCCGGCUGGAACUGCUCUGUCGAGACUGUUACACGAGGAAUAAACUUGUUUUCUAGCAGUUA